UACGUAGGGGGCUAGCGUUGUCCGGAAUCAUUGGGCGUAAAGCGCGUGUAGGCGGUCCGGUAAGUCCGCUGUGAAAGUCGGGGGCUCAACCCUCGAAUGCCGGUGGAUACUGUCGGGCUAGAGUGCGGAAGAGGCGAGUGGAAUUCCUGGUGUAGCGGUGAAAUGCGCAGAUAUCAGGAGGAACACCUAUUGCGAAGGCAGCUCGCUGGGACGUAACUGACGCCGAGACGCGAAAGCGUGGGGAGCAAACAGG
rnacentral:rRNA from 1 species